rnacentral:rRNA from 1 species
UACAGAGGUCUCAAGCGUUGUUCGGAUUCAUUGGGCGUAAAGGGCGCGUAGGCGGUGGGGUAAGUCUGGUGUGAAAUCUCGGAGCUCAACUUCGAAAUUGCACUGGAUACUGCUCUGCUAGAGGGCUGGAGAGGAGAUCGGAAUUCACGGUGUAGCAGUGAAAUGCGUAGAUAUCGUGAGGAAGACCAGUGGCGAAGGCGGAUCUCUGGACAGCUCCUGACGCUGAGGCGCGAAGGCUAGGGGAGCAAACGGGG